AAUUCCAAAGUAGCAUUUGAGGUGACAGGCGGGUCAUCUCUUUUUGCAGUCCAGACAAUGGUGUUUUCUGGUCGACCAACAAGCCAUAUUCCGGCCGCAUAUCUUUCUCCUUGCCGGUAGAAACCAAAUUCGAAAUUCCCCGAAGGUGAGGCCCACGAACUAUGCUGUUUUCCGGCAUAUAGUGAAGAACCGGGUUUGAUAAUGUUUGCCUCGUCUUCUUCAGCUAUGACAUUAACAGGGAAAGAAACCAGAAGGAACAGCAAGAGAAUAAUAUUUGACGGUACAUGAGCCAUAACUAAG
rnacentral:lncRNA from 1 species